GACGAACGCUGGCGGCGUGCUUAACACAUGCAAGUCGAACGAAGUGGCGAACGGGUGAGUAACGCGUAAUCAACAUGCCCUUCAGAGGGGGACAACAGUUGGAAACGACUGCUAAUACCGCAUACUGAAGGAGGGGAUGGCGUCUGAUUAGCUAGUUGGAGGGGUACCGGCCGACCAAGGCGAUGAUCAGUAGCCGGUCUUAGAGGAGGACCGGCCACAUUGGGACUGAGUCACGGCCCAGACUCCGACGGGAGGCAGCAGGGGGGAAUCGUCCGCAAUGGACGAAAGUCUGACGUGGCAACGCUGCGUGAGUGAUGACGGCCUUCGGGUUGUAAAGCUCUGUUAAUCGGGACGCGGGACCGGAAUAGAAAGCCACGGCUAACUCCGUGCCAGCAGCCGCGGUAAUAC
rnacentral:rRNA from 1 species